rnacentral:lncRNA from 1 species
AGAAUGGCAAGGUCUAGUGCUGGAUGGCCAAUGCUAUCUUCUAGGCUGCCUAGUGGCCAUAAUGCCCAAGCACAUAUACCGGGCCGAAAGAUGGUCACUGUGCGUUUUGGUGGCAUCAAAUUUUCUGGAAAUUUCUCCAGGAACAAGUUAAAAUACCUAGGCUUUCUCCAAUGGCAGAUGAAUACCAACCCUUCUCAGGACUCAUGCGACUUCCAAGUCCUGCGUUUUCUGGCACAUGGUGCAAGCAAGAAAUGCUGCCCCGAAAGACCCAGUGAGGCCAGGUUGCCCUGGACAGCAUCAAGGUAUUGAAUGGACCCCUCUACCUAUGACAAGAAAAAGCAGAUGGUGGUCCCCACUGCCCUCAUGUUGUGCAGAUGAAACCUCACCAGAAAGUUUGUUUUCUAGGGCAUGUGGCUCAUGAGGUCACCUGGAAGUACCAGGCCAUGAGAAACAGAAGGAUUCCAAUUCCAAAGUACCCAUUAUCAGGAGAAGCAGCAGUCUAGGAAGUGAUGGAAACAACAGAGAAGAACACGGACGAGAAAAUCAGUAAGCUCACA